rnacentral:rRNA from 1 species
AGAGUUUGAUCCUGGCUCAGAUUGAACGCUGGCGGCAUGCUUUACACAUGCAAGUCGAACGGCAGCACGGGGCAACCCUGGUGGCGAGUGGCGAACGGGUGAGUAAUAUAUCGGAACAUGUCCGGAAGUGGGGGAUAGCUCGGCGAAAGCCGGAUUAAUACCGCAUAUGCCCUGAGGGGGAAAGGAGGGGAUUCGCAAGGACCUUUCGCUUUCGGAGUGGCCGAUAUCGGAUUAGCUAGUUGGUGAGGUAAAGGCUCACCAAGGCGACGAUCCGUAGCUGGUCUGAGAGGACGACCAGCCACACUGGAACUGAGACACGGUCCAGACUCCUACGGGAGGCAGCAGUGGGGAAUUUUGGACAAUGGGGGAAACUCUGAUCCAGCCAUGCCGCGUGAGUGAAGAAGGCCUUCGGGUUGUAAAGCUCUUUCAGACGGAAAGAAACGGUUACAGAUAAUACCUGUGACUAAUGACGGUACCGUCAGAAGAAGCACCGGCUAACUACGUGCCAGCAGCCGCGGUAAUAC